GAUGAACGCUGGCGGCGUGCUUAACACAUGCAAGUCGAGCGGGCAAUUUAUCUAGCACUGAUUACUUCAAAUGGAAAUCAUAAGUGUAAUCAUGAAUUUCUACCUUUAAUAAAGAAAAAAGAAAUUCAUGUACGCAAAUAGUGAUAACACAUUUUAGUGGAGUGAUGAGUGCUGGAUAAAUUGCUAGCGGCGGACGGGUGCGUAACACGUGGGUAACCUGCCCCUAUCACUGGGAUAACACACUGAAAAGUGUGCUAAUACCAGAUAAUAUAAGCUUUUGGCAUCAUUAGUUUAUCAAAGAAUUUCGGAUAGGGAUGGGCCCGCGUCUGAUUAGCUAGUUGGUGAGGUGACGGCUCACCAAGGCAACGAUCAGUAGCCGACCUGAGAGGGUGAUCGGCCACACUGGAACUGAGACACGGUCCAGACUCCUACGGGAGGCAGCAGUGGGGAAUAUUGCACA
rnacentral:rRNA from 1 species